CAUGGCAUGCCAAGCGGUGCCAUGUCCACACCCUGAUCUGAACCGGCGAACUCAGGGCCCCCAAGAAGCGGAACGUAUGAACUUAACCGCUGCACCACCGGGCCGGCCCCUCACUGAAUUCAAAGCAAUAUGAUUAAAAUGAAAUCCACACCCAACUUACUGUAGUGAAAUACAGAACAAAAACUAAGGGAAAUCCUAAAAGCAGCCAGAGAUAAAAUAGAUAUUACCUAAAAACUAGUCUGACAGCUAAAUCUUUGACUGAAACAGUGAAACACAGAAACCCGUGGAAUAGUAUCUUCAAAGUACUCAGAGAAAAUAGCUAUCAAUCUAGAACUGUGAACAAUCUAGAAAUAGAAUUAUCUUUCAAGAUCAAAGGUAAAGUAAAAACACUUUCAGACAAAAACAGUGCAUUUGCCACCAACAGACCCUCACUGAAGGAAAUUCUAAAGGCUGUUGCGUUAGCCAGCCUCCAGGAUCCAACGAGCCUCACCUCCUGGUAUCCAGGGCCUUUUAUAGUCCCCUCACUGGGUGUUGGAGAUACACACAUACACAUAUAUUUAACAAAAGUAAGAUCUAAUAACAUAGCUCCAAAAAUAAAAAAUAUACGUGCUUUAGAGCUAUGCUGUUAUAAGCAAAAUCUGACAAAACUAUAAGGUGAAAUUGGCAAAUUCAGCGUCAUUUUUGGAUGUUUCAGUACCUCUCAAUAAAUUGAUAAGAUACACAUAAAUCAAUAAGAAUAUAGAAGAAUGAACAGCAGAGCCAGCCCUGAUGGCCUAGUGGUUGAUGUUGGGCAUGCUCCGCUUCGGCGGCCCAGGUUCUGUUCCUGGGCUGGGAACCACACCACUCCUCUGUCAGGAGCCAUGCUGUGGUGGCGGCUCAUGCAGAAGAACUAGAAGGACCUACAACUAGAAUAUACAACUAUGUAACGGGGCUUUGGGAAGGGGAAAAAAGAGAGAGGAAGAGGUUAGCUCAGGGCGAAUCUUUCCCAGCCAAAAAAAAAAGGAAACAGCAUAAUUAACAAGUU
rnacentral:lncRNA from 1 species